CCUAUUCUAAAUAUCUAACUCAAACAUAAUAUUAGUAGAACCUCCCCCAGAUUUAAACAACACUAUGAAUAGUGUUAUACAGUUUAAGAUUGGUGGGAAAAUAAACCAUAAGGACGAUAUUUAACAAGGCUCGCGGGUAUACCUGCCAUUGAUUUGAGUAUUGAUCAACACAAUUAAGUGGCGAUCAAUACUUGUGAUGCUCUGUCGAUCGACACUGAUCAAGUGUCGGCUGAUGCUGAUGCAGAACUCGUCGAUUCUUGUGCGAACUCAUCUUCUUGAGAUCUUUUCCUAAAACCUUACAUAGAUAAAAUACUAAAAGUCAGUAAUAUAUAACUAAUAAAACCAAUUUGCUAACUAUUUUUUUUUUCUGAUGAACAGUGAUCCUGCUACAGUAAUCCUGCUACAAUAUCGCUCGAUGCUACAGUGCCUCUGCUACAGUGUCGUCGUUACUGUUCAUUUUUUUUUUAACCUGAAAUCCUUAGAAAACAAGAAAAAUCAGUAAUAAAUGAAAAUUAAACCAUAUUUAAAACAAACCUAACAGUAGGUUGCCUCCCACUCAGCGCUUAUUUUAAGUCAUUAGCUUGACUUCGGGAGAUCUGAUUUACUCUGGAUUAGCAUGUGAACUUGCUCUAAAACAAGUCUCAGUGUCCAUCUUCCUCAUUUUGUU
rnacentral:lncRNA from 1 species